AUGCUUGCUUUGGCAGCAUAUAUACUAAAAAUGGAAUGAUACGGAGAAGAUUAGCAUGGUUCCUGUGCAAGGAUGAUAUGCAAAUUUGUGAAGACACUGCCCUUUCCU
rnacentral:snRNA from 1 species